GAUGAAGAACGCAGCGAAAUGCGAUAAGUAAUGUGAAUUGCAGAAUUCAGUGAAUCAUCGAAUCUUUGAACGCACCUUGCGCCCUUUGGCUAUUCUGAAGGGCAUGCCUGUUUGAGUAUCGUGAACACCUCAACUCUCAUGGUCUGCCAUGAUGAGCUUGGACUUUGGGGGUCUUGCUGGCCUACUGUCAGCUCCUCUCAAAUGAAUCAGCUUACCAGUGUUUGGUGGCACCACAGGUGUAAUAACUAUCUACGCUUGUGGUUUUCUGCCAGGUAACCUCCAGUGAUGGAGGUUCGCUGGAGCUCACAAAUGUCUCUCCUCAGCGAGGACAGCUUUUUGAACGUUUGAUCUCAAAUCAGGUAGGACUACCCGCUGAACUUAAGCAUAUCAAUAAGCGGAGGA
rnacentral:misc_RNA from 1 species